GCCCGGAUGGUGGAAUCGGUAGACACAAGGGAUUUAAAAUCUCUCGGCGUUCGCGCUGUGCGGGUUCAAGUCCCGCUCCGGGUACCA
rnacentral:tRNA from 2 species